ACACGAAAAGCCACCCUGGUGCUGAGUUC
rnacentral:piRNA from 1 species